rnacentral:lncRNA from 1 species
UGGGGAAGAUGGGCAAUAAAGGGCAUGUUUGGCAUGCUAGGGGAGAGAUCAUCCAAGAGAUCAUUAUCGAGGUGGAGCUGAAGAAGCAACUAUUCAGCCAUCGGAUUAGGAAGGCUAGAAAAAUAGUUGGGAUGCAUUCAGCGGUUUGACUGGUUGGUGAAAGAAGAAUAUCCUAUAAGCCAAUCGUAAGAAUAUUGCGAUGAAAUUUUUUUUUAUAAUUUUUCUAUU